rnacentral:rRNA from 1 species
ACUGUUUACUUGAUCUUGACUAUCCUACUUGGAUAACUGUGGUAAUUCUAGAGCUAAUACACGCAAUAAAGCUCCGACCUUACGGGACGAGCGCAUUUAUUAGACCAAAACCAAUCGGGCUUCGGCCUGAGCCGUUGGUGACUCUGAAUAACUGAGCUGAUCGCAUGGUCUUUGUACCGGCGACGCAUCUUUCAAGUGUCUGCCUUAUCAACUUUCGAUGGUAGUUUAUGUGCCUACCAUGGUUGUUACGGGUAACGGAGAAUAAGGGUUCGACUCCGGAGAGGGAGCCUGAGAAACGGCUACCACAUCCAAGGAAGGCAGCAGGCGCGCAAAUUACCCACUCUCGGCACGAGGAGGUAGUGACGAAAAAUAACGAGGCGGUUCUCUAUGAGGCCCGCUAUCGGAAUGGGUACAAUUUAAACCCUUUAACGAGGACCUAUGAGAGGGCAAGUCUGGUGCCAGCAGCCGCGGUAAUUCCAGCUCUCAAGGUGUAUAUCGCCAUUGCUGCGGUUAAAAAGCUCGUAGUUGGAUCUGCGCCUUCGGACUCGGUCCGCCCAACGGGUGUGAACUGGGAUCCAAGGCUUAUACUGCUGGUUUUCCCUUGAUGCUCUUUACUGGGUGUCUUGGGUGGCUAGCGAGUUUACUUUGAAAAAAUUAGAGUGCUUAACACAGGCUAACGCCUGAAUACUCGUGCAUGGAAUAAUAGAAUAAGACCACGGUUCUAUUUUAUUGGUUUUCGGAACUGUGAUAAUGGUUAAGAGGGACAGACGGGGGCAUUCGUAUCGCUGCGUGAGAGGUGAAAUUCUUGGACCGCAGCGAGACGCCCUACUGCGAAAGCAUUUGCCAAGAACUGUGCUUCAG